rnacentral:pre_miRNA from 1 species
AACCUACUCCCUCCGUUCGGAAUUACUUGUCACAAAAUGGAUGUAUCUACAACUAAAAUACAUCUAGAUACAUUCAUUUUUUGGACGAGUAAUUCCGAACGGAGGGAGUAUAGG